GUGGCAUCAUCUCUGGCUUCUGACAGCGCUCUCUCAAUCUUCCGGUCCACCCUGCAUCUUCUUUCUCUGUUUUUGCCAGGGGUUUUCAGGGCUGAGCUGUAGUUCAAGAGGUCCAUGCCUUUCCUGGGUAUGGACACCAGGUGUAUCUCAGGAAACCCCGAUCUGGAAUCUGCACCCCCCCCUCCAUCCCUUCUGGUGCUUUGGGACUGCCAGCCAGCAUCUUGUCAUCAAGGAUUUCCUGAGUGGCUACUCUGGAAAUGAGCUGGGAACUGUUGUCGUCCUUGGAGGGACUCAGUGUGGUGUGCCAGCUGGACUCAAGCCCUAGCAUCUUCCACUCAAUCUUCUUCACCUUCCUUAAACUUCCAGAAGAAAACAAAAGCCCAGUGACACUCUGCUGGAGAAAACAG
rnacentral:sRNA from 1 species